ACUUUUAUGUCAAGCAUCAGCAACUCCGCAAGCUGUGGCAAAACCUCAAGCAGCGUCAAAGGGAUGCCUUGACCAAAGAAAGGCAACAUCGGUUCGCCACAGGAGGAGGUCCUGCCACAGAGGACGCUGACAUCGACCCCGAUAUCAGCCAAAUUACAUCGGCAUUAAUUGUUGGUCUGGAUGAUGUAAUCGACAGUGACACCCUAGAAUUAGAGUAUUCAACACAGCUUGAUUUAACGGACUCCGACCCAGACAAGACCCAGACCCAGACAACCAAAAUCCGACCACCGACUCCACCGCA